rnacentral:tRNA from 1 species
GGGAAAGUGGCUCAGUGGUAGAGUGCUUGCCUAGCAUGCAUGAAGCCCUGGGUUCAAAUCCUCAGUACCA